UGGGGAAUAUUGCACAAUGGGCGCAAGCCUGAUGCAGCCAUGCCGCGUGUGUGAAGAAGGCCUUCGGGUUGUAAAGCACUUUCAGCGAGGAGGAAGGUGGUGAGCUUAAUACGCUCAUCAAUUGACGUUACUCGCAGAAGAAGCACCGGCUAACUCCGUGCCAGCAGCCGCGGUAAUACGGAGGGUGCAAGCGUUAAUCGGAAUUACUGGGCGUAAAGCGCACGCAGGCGGUUUGUUAAGUCAGAUGUGAAAUCCCCGGGCUCAACCUGGGAACUGCAUUUGAAACUGGCAAGCUAGAGUCUCGUAGAGGGGGGUAGAAUUCCAGGUGUAGCGGUGAAAUGCGUAGAGAUCUGGAGGAAUACCGGUGGCGAAGGCGGCCCCCUGGACGAAGACUGACGCUCAGGUGCGAAAAGCGUGGGGAGCAAAACAGGAUUAGAUACCCUGGUAGUCCACGCUGUAAAACGAUGUCGAUUUUGGAGGUUGUGCCCUUGAGGCGUGGCUUCCGGAGCUAACGCGUUAAAUCGACCGCCUGGGGAGUACGGCCGCAAGGUUAAAAACUU
rnacentral:rRNA from 1 species